ACGUCAUCCCCACCUUCCUCCGGUUUGUCACCGGCAGUCUCCUUAGAGUUCCCACCAUUACGUGCUGGCAACUAAGGACAAGGGUUGCGCUCGUUGCGGGACUUAACCCAACAUCUCACGACACGAGCUGACGACAGCCAUGCAGCACCUGUGUUCCGAUUCCCGAAGGCACUCCUGCAUCUCUGCUGGAUUCCGGACAUGUCAAGGCCAGGUAAGGUUCUUCGCGUUGCAUCGAAUUAAACCACAUACUCCACCGCUUGUGCGGGCCCCCGUCAAUUCCUUUGAGUUUCAGUCUUGCGACCGUACUCCCCAGGCGGCGAACUUAACGCGUUAGCUUCGACACUGAGCACCUAAGUGUGCCCAACAUCCAGUUCGCAUCGUUUAGGGCGUGGACUACCAG
rnacentral:misc_RNA from 1 species